rnacentral:lncRNA from 1 species
AUUCUUCAUAGAAUGCAAUGUGGUGGAGAGACAAGCCACAGUGGGCAAAGAGGUAGAUGCUUCUUACAAAGGAUCCAGAAUAUAAAGAAUUACUACAGAGCAAGAAUAAAGACAAUGCAGUAGAAAAAUGGACAGAAGAUAGUAGCAGAAAUUUUUUCUUUUAGAAAAUGAUAACAUGAAAAGUUGAAUUAUUAGUAAUAAACAUGAAAAGUUGCUUAUUAGUAAUAAAGAAAAAAUCAAGGUCAUAAUGAGAUAUACUUUUAUACUCACCAGACUGGCAAAAAUGUAACAAGACAGAAUUGGUGAAGAGAUGGAAAAGUAGGAACUUUUAUACACAGUUGAUGAAAAUAUAAAUUGGUGCUGAGCAUCAUGGUGCACACCUAUAAUCCCAAUGAGGCUGAGGCAGGAAGAUCUCAAGUUCAAAGCCAGCCUCAGCAAUUUAUCGAGGCCCUAAGUAACUUAAUGAGACCCUCUCAAAUUUUUAAAAAAUUUUAGAAAGGGGCUGGGAAUGUGACUCAGUGGUUAAGUAUCCCUAGGUUCAAUCCCCAAUUAAAAAACAAAAAAGGGAAAGAAAGCAUAAUCUUGGAAAAAUAUUGAAUACCUAUAUUCACAGCCACAUUAUUCACAAGAGCCAAAAGGUGGAAGCAAUCCAAAUGUCUGUGGACAGAUAAAUGGAUAAACAAAAUAUGACGUAUAGCCAUAAUGGAAUACUAUGCAGGUUAAAACUCAUGGUAAUCUUGCAUGAACCUCAAGUACAUUAUGAAAUAGGCCAGUCACAAAAAAGACAAUUACUGUAUAAUUCCACUUAUAUAAGGUUUCUAAAGUAGAUUCAUAGAGACAGAAAGUACAAUGGUGGUUGCCAGUCACUGAGGGGUGGGGAGUUGCUGUUGCAUGGAUAUAAAAUUUUAGUUUUGAAAAAUGAAAAUAGUCCUAGGGAUUGGUUUAAGAACAAUGAGAAUGUAUUUUACUGAACUAUAAACUUUAAAAUAUUUUAAAAAUUUCCACAAUUUUAAAGUUUUUUUAAAAAGUAAAGGAAGACAAUUCAGAAUUGAGGUUGCUUGUGGGUUGGGGGGCAUUGGAACUGGAUUUAAUGAGAACACCCAGCCAGCUUCACUGUACUGGUAAAUUUCUAGCAAAAGUUGUCUUGUAGGUUCAUCCAAUUUUAUAUAUUAUUUUAAGGCAUUCUGCCCAAUUAAUUUAUUAACUUGACUGCUUCUAAUGAUCAUCCUUGGCAGAAGUGGCUUGGUGUGGCUUCAAUCUACAUAAUAAUUCUUUUUUUGUUGUUUUUGGGGACCAGGGAUUGAACUUGGGGUGUUUAACUACUGAGCCACAUCCCUAGCCCUUUUUAUUUUUUUAUUUGAGACAAGGUCUCUCUGAGUUGCUUAGGGUCUUAUUAAGUUGCUGAGAAUAGCCUUGAACUUGCAAUCCUCUUGCUUCAGCCUCCCAAACUGCUGGGAUCACAGGCAUGUGCCACCGUGCUGGCUGAAGUUCAUUCUUAGACAUGUUAAGUUGCUUAUGUUAAUCAUGGGGCAGAGGGUUCUGGGGGUUGAACCCAAUGGGACUCUAACCCUAUGCUAUAUCCCUAGGGUCUCCCCAUUUUUUUCCUUUACGGUGCUAGGGAUCAUACAUGGGGCCUUGCACAUACUGACUAAAUGCUCUACCACUGAGCCACAUUCCCAGCCCUUUUUAUUUAUUAUUUUGGCAUAGGGUCUCACUAAGUUGCUUAGGGCUUUGCCAAGUUCCUAAGACUGUCUUUGAUGUGUGAUCCUCCUGCCUCAGCCUCCCAAGUCACUAGGAUUAUAAGUGUGCACCACUACACCUGGCUCUUAAUGUUAUUCUUUUUUUUUUUUUUUUGAAAGAGAGAAUUUCAAAAUAUUUAUUUACUUAUUUAUUUAUUUUAGUUUUCAGUGGACACAACAUCUUUAUUUUAUUUUUAUGUGGUGCUGAGGAUUGAACCCAGCACCCUGCGCAUGCCAGGUGAGUGCGCUACUGCUUGAGCCACAUCCCCAGCCCCAUAAUGUUAUUCUUAAAGAUGCCAACUUUCUCUCUCUUCAUGUAAAACUUUAAUGAGAUUAUCUGUUUCACCAAGUAGCUAUUUGGGAGUGGCACCUCUUAUUUCCUGUCUUCUCUCAUUCAAACUAGAAAAGCCUCACUUCUGUCUUCCUCGCUGUUUGUUUCUCUGUGGUCUCUGAUUCAGAGUAACAUUCAUGCUCUUCCUAUGGUCUAUGUAGUUCAUUCAAUGAAUAUGUAUUGAAUGCCUACUAGGUGUUAGGCACUUACUCUAGACAUGGAGGCUACAGUAACCAGUAAAAUAGACAAAAAAUUUCUGCCCUUGCAUCCAUCUUUCCAGAGAAAAGAAUCCUAAUUCUACUCCGUCUAUUGUCUCCUCCUAGCCUUUCUCCUUAUUUACUUUUGCAAGGCCUCUCAAAUUCUGGUAUUUCUUGAAGAAUGAAAUGCAGUGGCAUGAGUCCCAGUCUCCUCCUCAGAUUUUAAUGGAUGGCUCAGAGGUACUCUGCCACUGGCUUAUUUGAGAGAGAAUUUCAAAAUAUUUCUCUCUCUAAACUGGUAUACUCUGCUUUCUCAGUGAAGAGGAAUUACUGACUGGGAGGAUGUUGGAGGCAAGAAUAGUGAGUAGGGCUACUAGUCUUCAAGGAAAUAUGUUGAUGUGAAAGAAAAGGGACAUUUAGACAUACUGGCAAUGUUCAUAGCUGCAAAGGACUCAGCUAAGGAACCCUUUUCCUUUCCAUAAUUAAGGGACUGUCCAUGAUCAAACAAAAUUGAUUCCCAAACAGAACCCCAGAAGGGCAUUCAGAACUUCCUCAGGAAUCCCUGAUGUUGUCUGCCUCCUGUAAAAACCUAAAUUCCAGGGAGUAUUUUGUUUCUACCUUUAUUUGUCAGGUUUAUGUGUUUAAAUAUGUAAAGUUUCAGGAGAACUUUUUUUUUUUAAUUUUUUUUUUCUAGUAUAUAAAUACAUGCCAAUUGCGUUCUGUAGGAUGAGUAAGUCCAGAGAUCCAAUUUACAGCAUGAGAACCCUAGUUAAUAAUACUGUAUUAUAUACUGGAAAUUUGUUACUAUUUUAGGUGCUAUAACCACACAUACAAAAGUAAAUACAUGAGAUGAUGGAUCUGUUAAUUAGCUUAACUUUAGCAGUCGUUUCACUAUGUGUAUAUAUAUUAAAACAUGUUCUAUACCUUAAGUCUAUAAAAGAUAUUAACUAUAAAAAAAUUCAAACAAUAUAGAGAGUAGGAAGAAAAUGAAAAAUCAAGUAGAGAGGUCCACUGUUAAUAUUUUGAUAUCUCCUUUUCAAUGCAUGCUUAUAUGGAUCAUAAUCGCAUAGUAUAAUGCUGCCCUGGAACCCUUUUGUUUACUUAGCUAUAUAGCCUAAAUAUUUUUUCCAUAUCAGCAGAUGUAGCUCUACAUCAUUUCUAGUGACCACAUAGCAUUUCUGCAUAUGGGUCUAUCCUAAUUUAUUUUACAAAUGCCUCUUAUUUGAAGAGGCAAACCCUCUGGAAUGCACAGCCUUUGCACAGUUACCUGUUCUUUUGUUCACUAAUCUCUUUAAUCUCUUUAAGCCAUCUUAGAAAUUGAAUUGCUGCUAAAU